CGUAAGAUUGUUUUGAGCGAUGUAACUCUGCACCGUUAUCUCAAGCCUGCAAUAUGCUACAGAUGAAAGCACGUAUCCGUAAACACUGGAGAGAGAUGUAAGUACGUGUAGCUAAACUUGCCAACAGGCAAUGGAAGCUGGCAGGAUGAAUGAUGGUCAUUGCUCUCUGUGCCGAAGCAACAAAUUCCUCAUUCCAGGAAGGAGCCGUAUGGUGUUGCCUGCACAAGUCUGCUUGUUUCUCUGUGAGUUCCAGCCACUUGCUCUGCCUGUUCCUUGGUCCACAUUGCCUGUUCUGGUUUGUCCCUGCCUUCAUC